AAAUGAUUGAAAAAUUUGCCAUCGAGCACCAGUUUGACUGUGAAAUCUGCCCGGUGCUGUAAUCGAUCUGAGAGAUGGCAUUUUCGAAGCAGCUGUUAGCUUUAAUUGCAUUGAUGGUACUUGAAGUGUCAUGUCGCCCAUACCACUCGUCAUCAAUCUAUCACCAUCAGCCUGCUGAAGACAGUCAUAACUCUCCAGAAGAUAAUGCGGAAUACCAUGACACUGAAGAUCGAGGAGUGUCUCAAACGACUGAAAUAUACCAAAUAGACGUACGACUGCAUCCCGCCUCGUCAGCGGAACCGGCAAAAUCAAGUGGCACUGCUUUGAACAGUCAAAAAUCUGUGCGGUUUCAUGGUGCAGGAAGGUGAUCUACUUCUUAUUCGAGAGAAUGUGUAUAUUUUAUUUGCUAGUUUAUUUAAGCAGCUUUAAUAGGAAAUCGGUAGUUCUAUUGACAAAA